GGGGAUGACAGGCUUCGACGGGAGAGGCUGAACCCGAACGGCGAGCCGAGAGGUACCGACCUCGUGAAAUCAGUACAAAAAACAAGUGCCAAUCGCACUAACUACGCAACCCUGCCUUUAGCUGCGUAAGCAGUUAGAUCAAGGGUGCAAUGGCCUCUUGUAGGCCACGUCUGUCUGCUCCGUUCUCCGGCCGGUAGCAGAACAGGCGACACAAAGCUGGAGUGCCGCGCGAAACGCCGUGAUUCGCGUGAAAGAGGACUUUCGGGUCCAAACGGCUGGUUGCAGGUAACGGCUGCAGGUUCUCCGUCCGGCAACAAGAACAAAAAUCUGAUACGCUCGUAGAUGUUCGGCGCUCUAAUCUUUCGGACGCGGGUUCGAUUCCCGCCAUCUCCACCA
rnacentral:tmRNA from 1 species